AUGUACUCCAGGUUUAGCAGUUUCACACAGAAGUUGGCUAGAGCUUGAGCUUCGGAAGCUUAUAUUCUGCAGGGGUUAAAGCUGGUUUCUACGGAAGCACCACCUAUCAUAUUUGCCACCCCAACCAAACUGACCUUCAGUGCAACAGCAUAUAAUUAUGCCGGGAAGAACAAAGUUCCAGAGCUGCAGACCUUCUUCUAGAAGGCUGAUGGCGUGCCCAUCCACCUGAAAUCAGGCCUUCUGGACCAAAU